rnacentral:tRNA from 1 species
GCUCCCUUAGCUCAGUCUGGAAAGAGCAAUAGUUUUCUAAACUACAGGUCAAAGGUUCAAAUCCUUUAGGGAGUGCCA